rnacentral:rRNA from 1 species
AUUAGUAUAAGUUAUGGUCUUUAAAAUUAAAAAAUUUGGCAGUAUUUUAAUCUUUCAGAGGAACCUGUUUCAUAAUUGAUAGUCCACAAUUAAAAUAAUUUUUUUUUAAUUUAUAUAUCGUUGUAGUUUGAUUAUUCUAAAAGGCUAAUAUUCAAGAUUUAUAAUAAUAAAAAAUAUCAGAUCAAGAUGUAGUGUAUAGAAAAGAGAAAAUGGGUUACAUUAAAUAAAUUUAAGGAAGAUAAUUUUAAAAAUAUUUUAAAUAUGGAUUUGAAAGUAAUUUUAAUUAUAUAAUUAAUAUGAUUAAGAUAUAAAAUAUGUACACAUCGCCCG